GGUUUCCGUAGUAUAGCGGUUAUCACGUUCGCCUCGCGCGAAAAGUCCUUCGUUCGAAAUCUGACGAGACCU
rnacentral:tRNA from 1 species